CCUACGGGGGGCAGCAGUGGGGGAUAUUGCACAAUGGGGGAAACCCUGAUGCAGCGACGCCGCGUGGGUGAAGAAGCGCCUCGGCGCGUAAAGCCCUGUCAGCAGGGAAGAAACUGACGGUACCUGAAGAAGAAGCCCCGGCUAACUACGUGCCAGCAGCCGCGGUAAUACGUAGGGGGCAAGCGUUAUCCGGCUUUACUGGGUGUAAAGGGGGCGCAGACGGCGAUGCAAGCCAGGAGUGAAAGCCCGGGGCCCAACCCCGGGACUGCUGUUGUAACUGCGGGGCUAGAGUGCAGGAGGGGCAGGCGGAAUUCCUGGUGUAGCGGUGAAAUGCGUAGAUAUCAGGAGGAACACCGGUGGCGAAGGCGGCCUGCUGGACUGCAACUGACGUUGAGGCCCGAAAGCGUGGGGAGCAAACAGGAUUAGAUACCCUGGUAGUC
rnacentral:rRNA from 1 species